UCGUUCGGUGGAAACGAGAAUAAAACGUGAAGGAUAACGUUGCAUCAGCAACGGCCCGUAGGGCGAGGCGAAGCCGAGUCAUCCUGCAUGACCCACCA
rnacentral:sRNA from 1 species